rnacentral:rRNA from 1 species
AUUGAACGCUGGCGGCAUGCCUUACACAUGCAAGUCGAACGGUAACGGGCCUUCGGGUGCCGACGAGUGGCGAACGGGUGAGUAAUGCAUCGGAACGUACCUUUCAGUGGGGGAGUAACGUAGCGAAAGUUACGCUAAUACCGCAUAUUCUGUGAGCAGGAAAGCAGGGGAUCGCAAGACCUUGCGCUGAUUGAGCGGCCGAUGUCAGAUUAGCUAGUUGGUGAGGUAAAGGACUCACCAAGGCGACGAUCUGUAGCGGGUCGUGAGAGGAGUGAUCCGCCACACUGGAACUGAGACACGGUCC